CCGAUUCCGGUUCACGUCGUUCUGCAUGGCGAUCCGGCGUUC
rfam:Blastochloris viridis isolate 1 genome assembly, chromosome: I